rnacentral:lncRNA from 1 species
UGGCAAGUGAGUAGAGAAGGAUGAGGAGGUACACCAGCAGACUCUGAAACGGUGGCCAAAUGCUGACCAUAGAAGGCACUCAGAGACGGUAUGUGAGGGUUAGUAGUGGUCCACACCGCAAGUUUUUUCAAAUGAUCGAUUCUCAGAUGUGACUUUGUGUUAACGAUUGGCUUCGUUUUUAAUUUUCCAGUGGCUUCUUCUCUCAGUGUAAUAGGAGUGUGAGAUUUUGAUUCCGGUUUUGGGAGAUUUUUCGCUCCUCCUUUCUUCCCCAUGGAUCAAAUAAUCAAUCUAUUCGAAUCGAACAGAAUUGAAGUUAGGGUUUAGUUGUCGGAGUUUGUGAUGUUCAAGAUGGCGACGGAGGAUGAUGGAGACGACUAUAAGAAGCGCCAACGAUGUCAGAAGUGCUUUUUUUUCUUCCAAAUGGGGUGAACGGCAUCGCUUUUUUUUUCUUUUUCGCCAUAAGCGCUUUUACUUUUUUGGUUUUGAAGCGUUGAUUCCAGUCUGGUAAUGUUGAGUUGGGUUUGUGCCUAAGGCCCGUUGGUUUUCUCCUCAUGGUACCUCCUUGGGCCGGCGCCUCACUUUGCCACCAUUCAGGACCCGACUGCUUUGAUUCUUGGGCUCACAGGUUUAGUUAAGCCACCUAGUUUAAUUAAGAUUAGAAUGAGAAGUUAAUAUAUUUAAGGUGGUUAAGAUUAACCAUGUAAAUUAUGCUGAUUAAUCUUUUUUUUUGGUAAUUAAAAUGUUCAGGUUGGAUCAAAUAGAAAUUUGACUUUUAAGCCAUACGAUAAAAUAAUUAGGAAAUUAGAUUUGUUUUAGACAUAAUGACCAUUUUACCCUUUAGGGGUAAUUGUGGACUUUUUAUCCAUUUAAUAACAUGCUCCCCUUAUGAUUAGAACUCAAUCAUUUUCUAAUAAUUGUAGGACUUAACAUAGAAUUUUAAUCAUGAUUUUGAUCAAUAUUUUGACAUGUUCCUUUAGGAUUUCUAAUAUAAUUUAGAAUAUUCAAUCAAGUUUCUAAUGCAUGCUCCCUUAGGAUAGUUUCUAACAAGUACUAACUUCAAUUAGAUCCAAAACUAGUUCCCUUCAAAACUAAAACCAAACCCCUGAUUAAAUUGAUCAAAAGAAAUUUUGAUUAAUUAAAUCCUUUGAACUUGUAUAAUCCCCCAGUCUAAUUGAGUGACCACCUUGGUCACUUAGUAGGACUUUUCUUUCACGCUGUGGAGCUCAAGGCCUCAAGACAAGAUCUUCAAUCAAGGCAUCCUCAGUCAUACCAAGCAGCAGAUUAUUCAAGCACAUCAAAGGUGGCGUCUUCAACUUUCAAGCACUUCAAAGGUGGCGUCUUCAACACUUGUUAAAUCAAAGUUAGAAGAGUGUGACCCGAGCCUUAAGCAAUAGAGAAGGAGUGGGACUAGAGUAUUCCUACCCCCAUUCUGAGUAUCUUUGGGUAUGGGACGUAUGACCCAACUGAAGGAGAAUUGCCAUCCAAGGCGCAGCGGAAUUUAAAAAUUUCUCCAUUUAGUGAUCCUUACGAAUGGGCAUGAUCAGUGAUAGAAUCGUUACCUCUUGUGGCGAUUCAAACCUUUGAAUACUGGAACAAAUCAACAAACAAAUGUUAGUAAUAGAGUUAAAACAUUUUAAAGCUAUUGGACCUCUCCAUGAUUAUCAAAUCGAGAUUUAGUUCAUAAAUCAAAAGAUGUAUUUUCCAAAUCGUGCUAUAAGAUACAUGACCCGUCAAAACCUAAUAAAGUCUACUGAUAAAUCAAGUCAAGAACAAUCUAAGUUUCUCCCACUAGACCUAUUAGGCUACACGAACUACUAUGUGUCAUAAAUCAAUUCUACUAAUAAACAUUUCAAAUGAUCAGGCGUUCGGGGAUAUCUAACUAAACAUAGAGAGAAAGCAAACCUUUGGCAAGUGAGUAGAGAAGGAUGAGGAGGUACACCAGCAGACUCUGAAACGGUGGCCAAAUGCUGACCAUAGAAGGCACUCAAAGACGGUAUGUGAGGGUUAGUAGUGGUCCACACCGCAAGUUUUUUCAAAUGAUCGAUUCUCAGAUGUGACUUUGUGUUAACGAUUGGCUUCGUUUUUAAUUUUCCAGUGGCUUCUUCUCUCAGUGUAAUAGGAGUGUGAGAUUUUGAUUCCGN